AUGGACGGUCCAGAUCCAGAUCCGUGUGAUAAAGUUAAAAAAAUGGACGGCAGAUGUAGAUCCGUUUGUACAUAGUGCAUUAAGUGUUUUUUCAACACCUUGUUCAAUUACCAUCUUGUCCUUGAUAUAUGUUUAUUAAAGUAGUAUAGAUAUCAGUGUACCCUUGUGUGUGCAUUUUAUAUAUCAGUUAAUUACUUAUGUAUUUUAUUAUUUUUAUAGAUGACCAUUAGACCGUCCGUAGUGGGGCGUUUUUUUAAAAUUUUUUCAAAAAUAACGCUUGAUAACGCCCCGGUCACCAUUACAGGGGGCGUGACCGGGCGUUAUUUUUCAAAAAAAUUCACUCCGGCGUUUUUAUUAUAACGCGUAAUUAAUAUAUUUGUAUAUCAGCGUACCUUUCCUGCGGCGGGGAUUCAUUAGUUAUAUACCAUGUUAGAUGAAAGGCAAAUGUUUCUCACAUGACCACGAGUCUGUGUGUAAAACUGAGAAAAAAAUAACUAAGUCGAUCUCUGACUCGCACGUUGCGAAAGACCUAUCAAACGGGGAAAAAUAGACGCGAUGCAACGGACAUAUCAAACAGGAAAAAAAUAGAUGAAAAACGUUGAACCCCACACGCACGGUGCGGUGUGUUAACUCAGAAAUUUAGAACGACACGUUAAACGGAGAACUUAUGAAAAGUAUAUAAGAGACUAAAAUUGAAAGCAAAAAAAGUGUUGAGAUUAAAUUGCAAAAGAUGAAAAGCUUUGGAUUGAAAGUAAAAAAAAAUUAAAGGGUUAAAUUGCAAAUGAUGAAAAAUUUU
rnacentral:lncRNA from 1 species